AGCCUGGAGAACAAGAGUGAGACUCCAUCUCAAAAAAAAAGAAAAAAAAUAGGCAGAAUUAAAAGUGAAUUGUGUGCAAUUUAAGUGCUAAGAAGUAGCAUCAACUGGAUGUCAUCCCUUUCAUAUUUUCAUGAGUAACCUCAUCCCAAAAAAGAUUUCAGUCCAGGCUUCGUUAAUAUAAUCAUUGCUUAAAAAAUUCUUUGGGCUCAAACUGGAGAAGGAGAGAUUUUUUUCCUGUUGAAUUCAGAUGAAACUAGCAUCUUGGAAUGCUUGCUCUGGCAGGUACUGAGCCAGGUCCAUUCACAUUAUCACUACCUCAUGCAGUUUGCACAGCAAUUUGCAGGGAGGGUGGUGUUAUUCUCAUUUUUACACAUUUGAACAUUGAUGCUCAGAGCAGUUAAGUGACAAGCAGCAGUAAGUGUGGCAUAUUAAUGGGAAAAAGUUUCCGAGAUUGAAUUCAAAUGCCACUACCAUCCACUAGCUCACAAAAGAAGAGCUUCCUGCAGAAUGGCAGUAACAAUUGUUGAUCAUUCCUUCACACCUGACCCCUCGCCUUUAAGAACUUGUCUAUUUAUAAGUAAUUUAAGAAGCUAUGUUUCUCUCCAUCUGUUUAGGUAGAGAAGAGCAUAUAGAGGGAAUUGUGAGUAAGCCAGAUUAAUGCACCAGAAAAAGUAGAAACUGCACCAGAAAAAGUAGAAACUGCACCAGAAAAAGUAGAAACUGUACCAAGAACAGGAAGGACGGAUUGGCACCAGUGAAUUCAAACAAUAACCAGGUCUCAAGCAGUAGCCACCUCCAGUCUGAUACAAAGGAUUACUCCCUCCCCAGUGCCAGCUGGAGCCCCAUCAUGGUGAGGCUCUACAAUGAGUUCAUGGAGAAGACUGUGGAUGGGUCAUGGACAAGACUUCCAGGUUGUUGGUGCUCUGUGCAAUUCCUUAAAGAAGCAGACCUUACUAAGAUUGCUAAAGCUGUCCCUGCCAUCUUCUUACAAAUGAAGUGACGCAGAUGCAAGGUGCUGCAAGGCCCACCUCCUCCUGCUCUGACAGGCAGACAGGAAACCAAAGCCCCUAUCUGAGCAGCCUCUGUCUCUCCCAUUCACCUCCAGCUUCCCAUGUGGACCUUUGCCUUUUCCUUCUUGGAUGGUGGAAACUCCUCCAGAUGUCAAGACUUGCUGUGAAUAAAGUUUUAAGA
rnacentral:lncRNA from 1 species